GAUGAACGCUGGCGGCGUGCUUAACACAUGCAAGUCGAACGAAGCAUUUGCGACAGAUUUUUUCGGAAUGAAGUUGCUUAUGACUGAGUGGCGGACGGGUGAGUAACGCGUGGGUAACCUGCCUUGUACUGGGGGAUAGCAGCUGGAAACGGCUGGUAAUACCGCAUAAGGGCACAUUGUGGCAUGACAUGGUGUGAAAAACUCCGGUGGUAUAAGAUGGACCCGCGUCUGAUUAGCUAGUUGGUGAGAUAACAGCCCACCAAGGCGACGAUCAGUAGCCGACCUGAGAGGGUGACCGGCCACAUUGGGACUGAGACACGGCCCAGACUCCUACGGGAGGCAGCAGUGGGGAAUAUUGCACAAUGGAGGAAACUCUGAUGCAGCGACGCCGCGUGAGUGAAGAAGUAAUUCGUUAUGUAAAGCUCUAUCAGCAGGGAAGAUAGUGACGGUACCUGACGAAGAAGCUCCGGCUAAAUACGUG
rnacentral:rRNA from 1 species